GCCGUAGGUCUACUCGUGUAAACGGUUUGAAAACGAUUCGAGGCUAGCCCGUUUUCGUUCCGUUUCGUUUCGUUUCGUCUCCGUGUAAACGCAGCCUGAGGUAGCGACGGCAGUUCGGCAGUCUGUCCGGGUGACGCAACAGCUCAGUGAAGAGGAUUUACGCGUGCAGACGACUCGUGCUAGUGCGUAGGGAACCACAGUUGCUGGCAGUCGCGUCCUGCAACAGAACAUUUGUCGGAAUGCUAGUACCUGAGCAGCCGUCCAAUCGGAUGUCGAAGGACUAGCAUAGGCAUUGGUUAGUAAAGUGGACAUUUGGCUACAAGUAUUAGCAAGAGUCCCUAGCCACAAGCAUUGGUUAUUAAAGUGGACAAUUGGCUACAAGUAUUAGCAAGAGUCCCUAGCCAAAAGUAAGUAACUGGUCUCUCUUUUCUGAGGGUCAGCUGUUGAACGUGAUGUGUGACAAUGUUCUGUCUGUCUGCCUGUUGUCUGUCUGUCUGUCCGACUGAUUGACUGAAUGACUGACUGACUCUGUGUCUCCAUGUGUCUGUUCCUGUGUUUGUCUCUGUCUCUGUCCAUCUACGUCUCAAUCGCUGUCUGUCAGUCUGACUCUCUCCUCCUCUCCUACUGUCCUUCUGUAUGUCUGUCUCUGUCUCUUACUCCCUCUUUCUCCGUAUCCUGUUGUCUCUGUGUCUGUUUCUGUCUCUGUCACUAUCUUUCUCUCUGUCUCUCUGUGUGUCU